CUCCCAGGCCUCCCCACCCCGUCCUGCUCCCCCCAAACUCCUUCCGGGUGUUCUUUACCCGGACGCCAGCCCUGCAGCCAGGCAAAGACGUGGGGUCAGGUGUGGGCCGGGCCAGCGCGGAAGGCAGUGAACAUCAGAUAUCUGUCGUGCCAGUGAGCACUGGAGGUGCGGCCAAUUGCAACAAUUGGGGCCAGAUGUUUGGGGAAGCGGGGGGAGGCAGAGGGAGGAAUAUAGGGGCCUGGACAGCUGGAGCCAGGGCGUCUGGCCCCAGAUGCAGGCCCCACAAAUCCCACUGCUACCACCGAUGGGGCAUUGUCAGCUGCAGCGAGGGGGCUCAAAGCAGGGGACGGUGCCGCAGCUCCCCAUUCUUAAAAGUGCAUUUGCCCGCGGGCCGUGGCUCCCUCAUUGACAGUCCCGUGUCAUCGGGAGCCGGCAGGGACAGGUGGGAAAUUCAGCUGCUUGCCUGGUAUUUUUUGUUGUUGUUGUUGGGGUGGGUUACACAAAAAUGGCAGUGCACCAGCUGGGGCCGGUUUCGGGGCUGGAGGCUGCAGCAAUGGGUAGCUUAUCAGACCAAGAGUGAGACUUGACAAAAAGAAAUAGA